UGGAUUUUUAUUAUUGUUUACUGGAUUUCUAUGAGGAUUUAAUCGUUGAUCAUUGGUUUUUAUUCAACGAUUGGGUUUGAUCGUUUUAUCUUUCAUAUUUCAAUUGUUUGCUUAUUGAUCAUGUUUAGCGUUGAUCCCAUAAUGGCUUUUGGUUCAGACAUGAACUAAACUUCAUUAUGGGAUUCUAACGGAUUUUAAUAUGUAGUUUGGUUACACGCUUAAAUGCUAGGGUUGUUUUGCAUAUUAUAUGGGAAUUCUAUCGUGAUUGUGUUUACAUGUAUGAAUGCCUUAUCACCAUUCGUCUCAGUAUUUGUAUGGAAUUGACAAUGAACAUGCAAGUAUGGAUUGUAAUCAUGAUAGCAUACGAAUAUGGGACUGUUAUAUAUGGCUUGCGUAUUUUGUGAACCAGAUAGACAUAUGUUGUUUCACCGUAUGAACUAGAGUAAGGGCUUGUGCUUAAAAUCAAUAUAAUUACAAUUUCACAUAGACAUAUAGUGAUUUUGGUUGCGUUGAUGAUUACAUAGAGUCUAUCAUCUGUGGAUGCUGUGUAAGUAGGUUAUAGUGCAUUGAAAAAUGGUUAUAACUCUAUUCGUGCUCUUGGCUAUUUUCCUAUGAUAUGUGAACACUUCUUGCAUGAUAGUGGCGAUGAGAUGAAAUAUUAAAUGAAGUUAGGGUCCCAUUAUUUCCAGUUUAUAUUUAUUCCAUUAUUAUUCUUAUUUUUAGUUGUUAGUACAAUUAGUUCAAUUCAACAAUUCUAGUUAUUAGUUUAAGCAUAUAAAUACAGUGAGUUAAUU
rnacentral:lncRNA from 1 species